GGGUUGUGAGGUUAAGCGACUAAGCGUACACGGUGGAUGCCCUGGCAGUCAGAGGCGAUGAAGGGCGUGCUAAUCUGCGAUAAGCGCCGGUAAGGUGAUAUGAACCGUUAUAACCGGCGAUACCCGAAUGGGGAAACCCAGUGUGAUUCGUCACACUAUCAUUAACUGAAUCCAUAGGUUAAUGAGGCGAACCGGGGGAACUGAAACAUCUAAGUACCCCGAGGAAAAGAAAUCAACCGAGAUUCCCCCAGUAGCGGCGAGCGAACGGGGAGGAGCCCAGAGCCUGAAUCAGCAUGUGUGUUAGUGGAAGCGUCUGGAAAGGCGCGCGAUACAGGGUGACAGCCCCGUACACAAAAGCGCAUGUGCUGUGAGCUCGAUGAGUAGGGCGGGACACGUGGUAUCCUGUCUGAAUAUGGGGGGACCAUCCUCCAAGGCUAAAUACUCCUGACUGACCGAUAGUGAACCAGUACCGUGAGGGAAAGGCGAAAAGAACCCCGGCGAGGGGAGUGAAAAAGAACCUGAAACCGUGUACGUACAAGCAGUGGGAGCCCCACCACUAAGCCAGUGGUGAACUCCACAUACGCAUCCUUUGCUGAGGAUACGGUUAACGGAGCGAAAGCGACGUUCAACCUCAAAAGAAGCAGAGGGGGCUUAGUGGUGGGGUGACUGCGUACCUUUUGUAUAAUGGGUCAGCGACUUAUAUUCUGUAGCA
rnacentral:rRNA from 2 species